GUGGGGAAUUUUGGACAAUGGGCGCAAGCCUGAUCCAGCAAUGCCGCGUGCAGGAAGAAGGCCUUCGGGUUGUAAACUGCUUUUGUACGGAACGAAACGGUCCGGGUUAAUACCCUGGGCUAAUGACGGUACCGUAAGAAUAAGCACCGGCUAACUACGUGCCAGCAGCCGCGGUAAUACGUAGGGUGCAAGCGUUAAUCGGAAUUACUGGGCGUAAAGCGUGCGCAGGCGGUUAUGUAAGACAGAGGUGAAAUCCCCGGGCUCAACCUGGGAACUGCCUUUGUGACUGCAUAUCUGGAGUGCGGCAGAGGGGGAUGGAAUUCCGCGUGUAGCAGUGAAAUGCGUAGAUAUGCGGAGGAACACCGAUGGCGAAGGCAAUCCCCUGGGCCUGCACUGACGCUCAUGCACGAAAGCGUGGGGAGCAAACAGGAUUAGAUACCCUGGUAGUCC
rnacentral:rRNA from 1 species